rnacentral:rRNA from 1 species
GUGCCAGCCGCCGCGGUAAUACGGAGGAUGCAAGCGUUAUCCGGAUUUAUUGGGUUUAAAGGGUGCGCAGGCGGGCCAAUAAGUCAGUGGUGAAAUCCUGCCGCUUAACGGUAGGACUGCCAUUGAUACUGUUGCGCCUUGAGUAUGGUUGAGGUAGGCGGAAUGUGCAGUGUAGCGGUGAAAUGCAUAGAUAUUGCACAGAACGCCGAUUGCGAAGGCAGCUUACUAAGCCAUCACUGACGCUGAGGCACGAAAGCGUGGGUAGCGAACAGGAUUAGAAACCCUAGUAGUCC